GCCCUCUGGAAAAAGUUUUCCCGGUGCCAGCCUCAUCCUCGUGCACCAGAGAACGGCCAUUCCCUGCUGCUUUCUUCUCCAGAGACUUCUGAGUUUUCAUGCUGGUAGAGCUGGCUCUUCUCAUUCUCUCUACAAGUCGCAGGAAUCUCAGUUCCUCAAGAGGAAUGAGGGGGUUUGUGAAUCAAAUCCCACCUGUUAGAGGGAAUGGGGAUGUUGGAAGGGCAGCAGAGUGAUCUGUGUUAAAGGUCUGUCCAAGGAGGAAUCUUGGUCCAGAUCCCACCAGGGAACGGUGUGGAUGAAGAGAGACCCGGGAGAGGUGCAGGCAGGUAUGGGAGAGGCGUGUGCUGUGCUCAGGGGUGGGACGGAUCCUGGGGCUUGAAGCACCUGGAAGAGUGUGGGAGGGAAAACAGCCUGUGCCGGGUCUCCACUUGCUCUUCUCGCAGCUCCAGACACCGUGAGGGAAGACACGUACUGGGUGUGAAUCACAUUCACACACUGAACCACGGAAGGGGGCAGAAUGGACCUUAAAGAUCACCUUAAAGGACCUUAAAGAUCACCUUAAAGGACCUUAAGGAUCACCUUAAUGGACCUUAAAGAUCACCUACUCCCAACCCACAGACGGAAUUAGACCAAAGCUGCUCAGGGUCUCAUCCAACCUGGCAUCCACAGCCUCCGUGGGCAGCCUGUACCAGUGUCCCACCACCCUAAUGGUACAAAAAUUCUUCCUAAUGUCUGAAAUUUCUCCUCUCUCAAUUUGCACCCAUUUAAGCACCAGUUUUGUUGUUCUGCAGUCCCAGGUGGGUUCACAGUGUUGCUGUUUCCUGUUUGAGCCAAAUGUGAAAAACAAGUUGUUGGACAUACAAAGCACACCCCAAAAUGCAGAGACUGGUGGGUGCAGCCACUGUCCUUGCUCUCCUGGAGCAGCAGGACACACUGGGCAUAUCCUUUGCCUACACUGAUGCCAGAGCAGGAGUUUGGGAUCUCAGGGCUAUAGAUAUUAAUUGGGAAAAGGCAGGAAUGCCUCUCACAUGCAGCAAUCAUUGGCAGUGUCCAGGGGAGAGCCAGUGGCUCUGAUCACCUUGUCCCAGGAGAGCCCUGAUGGGACUGGUGCUGCUCCAGCAACUGAGCCCAGUCUGGUUUUUUUCCCCCCCAAACUUCCACAACACUUCAAAAUAAGUGCAAUGCUUGGGCCUCUCUUAAGUUUGCCUUGCAGGCUUUUUGUGUUUGUUUUUUUUUUUUUUUUUGAGCCAGGAGAGUUCACAUUCCCAAGCCUUUCCCUGCAGCCAGUAAGCAGAGUUUAUUUUUUUUUUAAUAAAAAAGGAGAAAGCAGGGCUUUGCAUGUAACCUUAGGUUCCCUGAGCAGGGCAUCAGCCUCUGGGCCUGGACAGGCAGCUGAGAGGAGGCAGAAGCAGCUGGCAGAUCUGGGGUUGGAAGGGGCUUCUGGAGCCUCCCUUCUUCCUUCCUGGGGCAAAAUCUCCAUCCCAGCCACACCUCCAACCUCAGCAACAUGUACUGGGAGAGAGUCCAUUUUAUAAAACCACUGCCUUUCUCAUUUGAAAACAAACAGGGUAAGAAAAUAACCAAGUGGAGCCAUUUUAUGAAACUAACACAGACACUAACAGGGCAGCCUCCCAGUCAUCAACAACUUUAAAAAAAUAGGGGAAAACCGGAGAAAUGAAGCGUUUGUUUCCCAGCAACCCAGUGGGCAGCACCUCCCAACCACCACCACCAAUUUUAGAAAAUACGUGAAAACCAGAGAAAUGAAGCAUUUGUUUCCCAGCAACCUAGUGCAAAAAAAAAAAGGGGGCUACUUGUCUUGGAAAACACAAGCAGCUCCUUUAUGAGUCCUAAGAAGAGAAAGAAGAGCAACUACCUCUUACCUGAGCUUCUCCAGCCCUCCAGGAUUUUGGGGUGAACACCAAGCUUUGUAACAACUUGCUACUCAGGGAAGGAAAAGUGAGCAGAGCUGCUUGUAAUUCCCAGCUCUGCUGGAUUUAAAGGAUCAGCACAAAUAGUGCACACCUGGAAAAGAGGUUCCUCUUCAGGGCAGGUGAGUGCAGAGGAAAGGGAUGUCUCUAGAAGUCCCAGGACACUCCAGGCUUUGCAGUGGGGUUUAACAUCCUGCUGAGAUCCAUCCUGCUGGGGCUGGGCCCAGCUGCUGCCCAGCUGCAUCUGCUGCUCCCCAAGGAAGGAUGUAUCAGAGCACAAUGAUUUGUUUUUAUUGGGAAUAUUUGCUUCCUGCCACCAGGAUGCAUGUGCAGCAGCAGAGAAACAUACAGCAGUGCAAGACCUUGUGCACCACGUGAGGCAGAAAAGAUUUGUUAAGAGGGGUCUGUGUCACCCAAAUAUCUGUGGGAAGGAUUGGCCAAGAAUGAAGUGCUGAACCUGCAAUCCUGCCCACCUUCCUCGCAGUGGGAGAGCAAAGAAUUCCACCCCAACCUUCACCACACAGCUCAGCCUGAGGCCACAACUGCUCUGGGAUGGAGUUACUGGUACAGAAACCUCUACCUGAGCUGGGCAAAGGCUGAGCAUCAGUGUGAGCAGGUGUGUCCCCAGUGUGAGCAGGUGUGUCCCCAGUGCUCAGUGAGGGCUCAGCAAGAGAUCUCUGAGCAAAGCAGAGUCAAGGGAACAGACUCAGGGCACAGGACAGGUGGGAGGGGAAUUUAUUUUCUACUCAUUCUGGCCUGCCCCUGUGAUGCUAUUCAGACUCUGUGCUGCCCUCAGAGGAGGGAGGAGGCACUGAAGAGCAGAGGUUUCCUCCUCCUUCUCCUCCAGAGGGAUGCUCCAUUUCUGCUGCUGCUGGCACCUGAGGACAGCUGUGGGGCAGAGCAGCCCACGGGCCCUUGUCACCAUGCAGUGCCCUGGUCCCUGCCUCUCCUCCCCAACACUUUUGGGUGACCCUGCAGAUCAGCAAUGCUCCCUGCAAAGCCCCUCUGCUCAUUUCCAGAGCUUUCUGCAAACACCAGCUGCUCCAGGCUGUGAAAGGCAGCAGUGGACAGCAGGAAGCUGCUGAAAGAAAACUCCCCCAAGGCAAUCAGGGCACAUUUCCCAAAUAGCAACAGCAAGAGAAA